rnacentral:rRNA from 1 species
UGGAAUCGCUAGGAAGCGUAGAUCAGCAUGCUACGGUGAAGACGUUCCCGAGUCUUGUACACACCGCCCGUCACACCACGAGAGUUUGUAACACCCGAAGCCGGUGGAGUAACCAUUUGGAGCUAGCCGUCGAAGGUGGGACAAAUGAUUGGGGUGAAGUCGUAACAAGGUAGCCGUAUCGGAAGGUGCGACUGGAUCACCUCCUUUCUAAGGA